AUUUUUGUUUUAUUGUCUAAAGAAUAUUAUAAUUUGGAAAUGACUUGAGUUUUCUGACGAUUUUGGAGAAAACAAGACUGCUUUGUCAAUUAAGACAAAAAGUAACAUUCUUGUGUUUUUGCAAAGAGUAGGAUACUCGAUCACUCGAUAAAAAAAAUUGGACAAAUGUAAGGAAAACAGGAUUUGCAGAUCAGGAAAAACAUUAUCAAAAUUGGUGAUACCGUAUAACAAAAUAUGGUUGGAUAGUUUAAGAAAAGAUUCAGAUAUAAUAAUCGAUAAAAUUACUUCUCUCAGACUAAGACCAACAGUGAGAUAUACACAGUAAACGAAGAAGAAUUUAUAUCUUGUCUAGGUAUACAUAUGAAAUUGAAGGAACUGAAGCAUUUUUGAAAUUUAAAUUCUCUUCUUUCUGGUUCUAAAUUUUUCAAAAACUUCUAUGCCUGCAAUUUUGAAAUAUGUGUUUCUGCAUUGUCAGUCGAAAUAUUCGACAUUUUGUCUCUGAUUAUCAAAUUUGGUACUUACAAGAAACUUUACACGAACUGGGUGCUUAUUUCGAAAUCUGAAAGGGCAGCACUUAUACAAAAAUUUCAAAAAGGAUAAUUUUUUCUCGAUUCAACAAAUUUCACUUUUAUUUAAGAGCAUUCGUACUUUAAAUACCUGCUUUCGGAUAUUCGACACGUGAAAGUUUUAUAUCAUCAAACACCCCGUACCCAAAGCUUAGUAAAUAAGUGGGAAAUUUUUUCCAAACUUGAUAGUUUUUUUCAUCUGUCCUACGCCCACACCAUAUUCUUUCGAUUUCUCCACACGUUUCUGUUUCCCAAUCACCUCUCACACUUUAAAAAAGUAAAAAAACUCUUCAGCCAGCACAAAGCUUGCGAAGAAAAAAAAAUAAAAAGCUUCAAACGAUACAUCACCACAUAUAUCUCCAUGUUCUAUACGAUACAUAAGCGCUAGCGAAAGUUACUUUUAAAAUCACAAGCUCCAGCAACAAAACACGUAUUAAAGUUUAGUCAUAUAAGAAGAAGAAGAAGAGUACGAUAACGAGGGGUGAGAGGUGAGAGGGGCAGGGGAGGGAAAGGAGAGAAUAAGCGAGAUGAAAAACUGGCGGAAAAAAUCCAAUAAAAGUAUGAAUAUCAACUCAGCUGUUGUAUAAGUUCACCGCGACGAAAUCUUCGCUUAAACUGACACAUAUUGAAAUGUCUCCCUUGGGACCAAUUUGAAAAUGCAUUUAAGAAAAUCACUCGAAUAUACGACAGAGCUUUCGAAACUUUUGCCAAGUAGUGAUGUUGUACCAUAUAUUUAUAUACUUACUUACUUGUGUAAGUAUAUCUGUACGCGACGACGACGAACAAGAAAGAGAAAUGUCUGCACGGAGCUGGUUAUAAAUCGCCGAGUUUUCUUACUUUUUGCUACUUGGCUUUGGGAAAAAAUUUCGAUUAAAUAGAAUCCGCCUUUUGGCCUCAUCGCCAUCGCCAUGCUCCUCGGUCGAGCACAUACAGUGCUUGCUUAAAUUGGUACUAAGCAGCGUAACAUAUUUGUACAUAUAGUUAUAUAGUAUAGGAUUGGUUUUAAUAAAGAAUUCAUACGCGCGUACGUUCGUCCAAUAUAAGAAAACACUCGAUAAAAUUAAGCCAAAAACUUUCCGCAAAGCCAAUAAUACGAAAAACCAAUUGCUGCGGCUCGUGAGUUGAAAUGUUAAUAACGUAUGCGAUGAUACCAAUUCGGGCAGAAGGGGCAGGAAAGGCAACACGAAGUCGAAGGGGUGUAAACCAAAAAUUCUUUUCUGGGUUCGAAUUUCGCACUGCUACGCGAAAUAAUGCUCUCGAUGAAUACUAAUUAAUAUACGACUACGUGCUCCGAAGCAAAACAUGCCAAAGGAGUAGAAAAAAAAACAAUCAAUUAGGACAACUUACCGUAAAACUUCACGCCGCAGCUUUCAUGUGUUCGACUUUUAAAUACGAUUUUCUUUCGUUUCAAUCUAUACAUAGGUAUGUUAUACAUAGACAUACAGGGUGACAAGAAAGUUCAGACGGAUGCUACUAAUGUUAUUUGUGAACUCAUUCUAUAAAUUUGGGUUUGAUUUAAAGUACAUUGAUAAAAUAAUAUUGUGUCGUAGGUACCUACUAAAUAUACGUUCGUAUAUUCGAUACCUACUCAGUAUUACCUAUUAAAUAGGUAAUGAGUGACGGAAAAUGCACUGGUGUAAUUGUAAUAAAGCUAAUUACUUACCUCGGCUAUGGGUUUUACAGUACACUACCGAACACAAUAAAUUAUCAUACGCAAAGUUCGUGUAAACGAAUGUAUUUGUCAAUAAAGACAACUUAAACCGACUCGGAGCACUUCAAAGGGUUCAACACAACGAUUAUUCGGGGGGAAUUACAAAUUACGUUAACACUACUAAAUUAUUACUAAAUUAUAAAAUAUACAAAAACACUUUAAACCUAGGGCCGGAGCUCUAAAGAAUUAAGGACAUAUUAACUUGGCAACUCGUAUACUCGCGGAUUCGAACUACGAGUUGGUCCAGUUGCCAAAGAAGCUGGAAGGCUCAUUUGACACCUUGACCACUCAUUGUUACCAACCACAUCACCGAACGGUGCUGGAAGGGUUAAAUUACCUGUUUAUAUACAUACGUGUUACCAUUAAGGCAUAUCCGUCUAACAUAUGCCCUCCGAGGUUUACUCAGCUAUGACUCAGCGAGCUAAGUUCCCAGCAGAGGAAAUCACGGUGUGAGACAUAGACAUGACUUAAUGAUAACACUGUCCAUACGGACCCUGCUGCCCCCCAUGAGUUUCUCGGAUGAGAAAUUGGUGAGCAGAGAAGAAAGAAGAAAAUUCUCAAAUUUGGAACCACAGCGCACCCUAGGUGUUGAAGCAGGCGCGUACGUGACCCACUGAGCCACCAGAGAUCGAUUACUCGAAAUCCAAUGUACUCAACAAAUACACGUAACUACCUAGUUCUAGCCUAGAAUACACGACAUCGAAAAGGUUUCCAGUUAGCAAUAAUACGAUCCUUUUUUGUUUCAGAUACCCGUCCGGAAAAGGUGAGAAUAUGGAUCAAAUCAAGAUCAGCCACAGCAGCUCUGAACGAUGAAGAAAAGAAGAGCUACGUACGUAGCUGCGAGUUCGAUGUCCAAGUCAACAUGUCCAAAACAGGUUUAUGGGUCAUUAACGCCUCCGAGCCGGUUUAUAUUUACGUUCGUAUUCAUUCUUACGAUUAAGUGCAACGUUUAGGAAGAAAAAAUGUGCAAAUUAUAGAAUAAGUUUGUACUUUUAUUCGAUGUAUAGGUUACAACAUGCAUUGUAAAUACUGAUUAUUGUUUAUUGAUAAAAUAAAGAAUAAAUACCCAAAAUAGUUUUGUAAAUUAUUACGAUACUCAGUCUUACUUCUUCAGACUUAUACAGUAAAGUAACGUUCGUUAAAAAAAAAAAAAAAAUUAUUAAGGAAAAAACAAUAAAAAUUAAAACAACAUCCUCGAGAUAAACGAAUUACAGU